GACGAACGCUGGCGGCGUGCUUAACACAUGCAAGUCGAACGGUGAAGCGCCUGCCUUCUUGGUGGGAGCGGAUGAGUGGCGAACGGGUGAGUAACAGGUGAGUAACCUGCCCCCUUCUUCUGGAUAACCGCAUGAAAGUGUGGCCAAUACGGGAUAUGCUGGGUCUGUCGCAUGAUGGGUCUGGGAAAGAUAUUGUUUCGGUGGGGGAUGGGUUCGCGGUCUAUCAGCUUGUUGGUGCGGUGAUGGCCUACCAAGGCGGUGACGGGUCGCCGGCCUGGGAGGGUGGACGGUCUCACUGGGACUGCGACACCGCCCGGACUCCUACAGGGCGCAGCAGUGUGCGGUAUUGAACAAUGGGCGCUAGCCUGAUGCGGCGGCGCGGCGUGUGCGAUGGAGCCCUGCGGGUUGUGAACCUCUUUCGCCAGUGAAGCAGGCCUGCCUCGUUUGUAGGUGGAUUGACGGUAGCUGGAUAAGAAGCGCCGGCUAACUACGUG
rnacentral:rRNA from 1 species